GCCAAUACAACGCAUUCAUAGUGCUACAAAGCGUACAUUAAAUUUAACAAGAAUAAGACUUAUAGAAUGUAGAAGAAAAUAAACAACACAAAGGAUGUAUUAAAAUUAAAUAAAACGAUUACUGCAAACGUGUUUACUAAAAACCAAUCAUCCAAAGAGCGAGAAGCAUGUGGACUCUCCUAGUUUUUGCAACUCUGUGCUCUUUCAUGGACAGCCUUCUUCAGGUUGAAGGAGCACCUCAGUAUAAAAGGCCACCUGAAUCAUCACCACCACUCAAUGUCAAAUCUGAAAAGAAAAGCUUUGACCUGCCUAUCUCACCCAAUGAAAAUUUCAAACUACAUUCCCACACAAAAUCCAACAAAAAUAAAGAAUCGAAGAAAGCACGGCAACAUACCAAUAAAACAUAACUUAUGAAUUAUUGCUGUUCAUAUGGGAUUGAAAAUCACAUCAGUUGUACAGACACAAAAAUAUUAAACUGAAAAAAUUGCCAAG